UUAAGUCAGAGGUGAAAUCCCAYAGCUCAACUGUGGAACUGCCUUUGAUACUGGUUGWCUUGAGUUAUAUGGAAGUAGAUAGAAUGUGUAGUGUAGCGGUGAAAUGCAUAGAUAUUACACAGAAUACCGAUUGCGAAGGCAGUCUACUACBUAUAUACUGACGCUCAUGGACGAAAGCGUGGGGAGCGAACAGGAUUAGAUACCCUGGUAGUCCACGCCGUAAACGAUGGACACUAGUUGUUGGGAUUUAUCUCAGUGACUAAGCGAAAGUGAUAAGU
rnacentral:rRNA from 1 species